GAUGAACGCUAGCUACAGGCUUAACACAUGCAAGUCGAGGGGCAGCAUGAACAUAGCUUGCUAUGUUUGAUGGCGACCGGCGCACGGGCGCGUAACACGUAUCCAAUCUGCCCGUUACUCGGGGAUAGCCUUCUGAAAGGAAGAUUAAUACCCGAUAGCAUUCAUUGGCGGCAUCGCUUUUGAGUUAAAGAUUUAUCGGUAACGGAGGAGGAGGUGUACGAUUAGCUAGUUGUCGGGGUAACGGCCCACCAAGGCGACGAUCGUUGGGGGUUCUGAGAGGAAGGUCCCCCACACUGGAACUGAGACAAGGUCCAGACUCGUACGGGAGGAAGCAGUGAGGAAUAUUGGUCAAUGGGCGAGAGCCUGAACCAGCCAAGUAGCGUGAAGGAUGACUGCCCUACGGGUUGUAAACUUCUUUUGUUUGGGAAUAAAAGACGCUACGUGUAGCGUUCUGCAUGUACCUUACGAAUAAGCAUCGGCUAAUUCCGUGCCAGCCGCCGCUGUAACAC
rnacentral:rRNA from 1 species